rnacentral:lncRNA from 1 species
UAUUUUCUCCUAAACUCUCACCCACCUCUAGGCCCUAACUUUUUUAGACAUAAACGGGAUUUGGGCCUUAGAAGCCAUUGCCAGGAGGCGUUUUACAGAUGGCUUAUUUCGGCAAUUCGGUUUGUAUUUCUUCGGAAGUUCAACCUUCACCUGCCAAGUCCGAUUGGUCUGCUUCAGAUGGAUAACAGUCUUGAUAUUUGUAUUGGAUGCAAUCACGACCUCGGAAAAAAUCAGCAGACAGGCGUGUUUUUGUCAAUGUCUUUCUUGGCAUCGAGAUAGGUCUCAUGAGCCUUCUUGGCGGCCCGAUAAGCCCGUAAAACCCUCGAUGAUAGCGAGAGAGAAGGUGCUAUCUUUUUUAACAUUGAUUACCAACAAUUUUGCUCGCUUUGUAGUUCUUGAUCUUGGCUUGGAAGAGUUUAAU